AGCUGCUGCCCCAACCUGCCCUCCUCCUCACAUUCUGGCCUUGGGAGUGGCCUGAGGACUGGGAGAAAAAUUAAUCCCCUCCAGAAGCCACUGGCUCAAGGGAGAGUGGCCUGAGCCCCAGUUCCGCCACCGUGUCCUUGCUGCCUUCCCGGGUUGGAGCCCUGUCUGUCUGGAUUUCCCAUGGCUGCUGCCUUCAUCCUGCUGGGACCUUGGGACCAUGGAGGCAGCCUUUAGCCUGAGUACGCAGGGCACAGAAUCUCACUGUCCAAGAAAGCUGACUGCACACUGUCCUGAAAGAAAAGUCACAAACAUAGCUCAGAGAGUCCCCGUACAGCCCUCGCCCGGUUUCCCUGUCUUCAACACCCUAAGUUGCUGCAGAGCAGUCGUCAGAACCGAGAAGCCCGGCGCGGUCUGUGAGCUUCCCCGCAGGCCGUGGCUGGGACCCAGGGCCCGUCGGGAACCGGCUGCCUCUUCCCCGCGUCUCCUGAGGCUCCUCGUGGCUGUGGCAGU